AUUGCAGGUUAUCAUGGCUUUGAAAUGCAUAACUUCACAUUCUUCGCCAUAAACGUCUUGCAUAGAAUAAAGCAUCAGCUUUACAAGCUGCCUCUUUGCAGAUCGUUCUGUAUGUUUGUAUUAGUCGAUAGAACGAUUUGAUAAGAGGAAACAAAC
rnacentral:snoRNA from 1 species